UACGAAGGGGGCUAGCGUUGCUCGGAACCACUGGGCGUAAAGCGCACGUAGGCGGACUCUUAAGUCGGUGGUGAAAUCCUGGAGCUCAACUCCAGAACUGCCUUCGAUACUGAGAGUCUCGAGUCCGGGAGAGGUGAGUGGAACUGCGAGUGUAGAGGUGAAAUUCGUAGAUAUUCGCAAGAACACCAGUGGCGAAGGCGGCUCACUGGCCCGGUACUGACGCUGAGGUGCGAAAGCGUGGGGAGCAAACAGG
rnacentral:rRNA from 1 species